AUGAGAACCUGCACCCUCCUCCUCAUUGUUGUUGCUGUCGUAGCCGUGGUCUUCCCCGUUGCCACGUCUGCCGCGGGAAACUGGUCUCCGAUCGAAGACAUCAACAGCCCGCACAUCCAGGAGCUAGGCGAGUGGGCGGUGGCCGAACACCUGAAACAGGCCAACGACGGGAUCAAGUUCAGCAAGGUGACGGGCGGCGACUACCGGGAAGAAGCCGGCGUGAGGUAUCGCCUCAUCAUCGACGCGCUCAACCGCGACGGCAAGCACGGCAGGUACGGCAGGUACGGGUCUCAUCUUCUUCAGCCCGGCCAACUAGGCGGCGAGACCAACCAGCUAGCGGGAUAA
rnacentral:rRNA from 1 species